CCAGGAGCUCCAGGCAAACAUGGCUUGACACAAAGAGGACGAUCAAAGCCAAGCCCAGGUCAAAGAAAUGAGCCCAAAACAACAACGAGUACAAGAUCAAAGCUGACAAGCUCCAGACAAACACCCAAACACCUGAAUGAAAAGGGAGGACAAGAAAAAAGGCCCAGGCUGGUGAACACGAGAUUGCCUCGAAGUGAUGAGGCAGAGGAAUCAUUCAUUUGGCCCUUGGGAACACAGGACGACCCCGGCACCACCUGCCAUGAGCUGGGACUCAUACACCCACAUCUGACUGAUGGUUACUUUUACAUGGACCCCAACCAGGGCUGUGUCUGUGAUGCUGUGAAGGUUUCCUGUAACUUCACAGCAGGGGGAACAACCUGUAUAGACCCUUUAC